CAUGUCUUUUUGAAUAUAAUUUAAAGUCUAAUCUGCCCACUGAAAUAUUUAAAUGGCCGCAGUAUUUUGACUGUGCUAAGGUAGCAUAAUCAAUAGUUUCUUAAUUAGAAGCUGGAAUGAAUGAUUGGAUGAGAUAAAAACUGUCUCAAUUUUAAUAAUUAAAAUUUUAUUUUUAAGUAAAAAAGCUUAAAUAUUUUUAAAAGACGAGAAGACCCUAUAGAGUUUUAUAUUUUUAAGUUAAUUUAAUUAAUAUUUAAAUAUUUUAUUGAUUUAAAAAUAUUUUGUUGGGGUGAUAGAAAAAUUUAAUUAACUUUUUUUUUAUAAAACCAUAAAUUUAUGAAUAAAUGAUCCAUUAAUUAUGAUUAUAAGAUUAAAUUACCUUAGGGAUAACAGCGUAAUUUUUUUUGAGAGUUCAAAUCGAAAAAGAAGAUUGCGACCUCGAUGUUGGAUUAAAGUUAAUUUUUGGUGUAGCAGCUAAAAUUUUAAGUCUGUUCGACUUUUAAAACUUUACAUGAUCUGAGU
rnacentral:rRNA from 1 species